rnacentral:sRNA from 1 species
UGAACGAAUCCUACUCUCCACCUUAUAGGAGCAGUUUCGUCUCUUCCUCCUUCUUUCACUUAGCUCUUCCUAGUGUUAAACCAGAGUAAAGCUUGAAACUUUGGACUAAAAGAAUGGCGUCUUUGGGUGUGUCGGAAAUGCUUGGUACUCCCCUUAACUUCAGGGCAGUUUCAAGAUCGUCUGCUCCGUUGGCAUCAAGCCCAUCCACGUUCAAGACUGUUGCUCUCUUCUCUAAGAAAAAGCCAGCUCCUGCUAAGUCCAAGGCUGUCUCUGAGACUAGCGAUGAGCUCGCCAAGUGGUAUGGUAUGUGUCUUCUAAAUCCCUUUUAUAAUCAUUUCUUGCUCUGUUUCUUUGUGAAUGUGUUUGUAAUUGUGACUCUUAUGCAG